rnacentral:rRNA from 1 species
AGCGAACGCUGGCGGCAGGCCUAACACAUGCAAGUCGAACGAACUCUUCGGAGUUAGUGGCGGACGGGUGAGUAACACGUGGGAACGUGCCUUUAGGUUCGGAAUAACUCAGGGAAACUUGUGCUAAUACCGAAUGUGCCCUUCGGGGGAAAGAUUUAUCGCCUUUAGAGCGGCCCGCGUCUGAUUAGCUGGUUGGUGAGGUAACGGCUCACCACGGCGACGAUCAGUAGCUGGUCUGAGAGGAUGACCCGCCACCCUGGGACUGAGACAAGGCCCAGACUCCUACGGGAGGCAGCAGUGGGGAAGCUUGCGGAAUGGGCGAAAGCGUGACGCAGCCAUGCCGCGUGAAUGAUGGAGGUCUUAGGAUUGUAAAAUUCUUUCACCGGGGACGAUACUGACGGUACCCGGAGAAGAAGCCCCGGCUAACUUCGUGCCAGCCGCCGCCGUAACAC